GUCCACGCCGUAAACGAUGAGUACUAGUUAUUAGAGGUAUUGACUCCUUUAGUGACGCAGCUAACGCAUUAAGUACUCCGCCUGGGAAGUACGGUCGCAAGACUAAAACUCAAAGGAAUUGACGGGGGCCCGCACAAGCGGUGGAUUAUGUGGUUUAAUUCGAAGCAACGCGCAGAACCUUACCUAGGCUUGAAAUCCUACGAAUACCGAGUAAUGUUGGUAGUGCCCGCAAGGGAAUGUAGU
rnacentral:rRNA from 1 species